rnacentral:rRNA from 1 species
ACUCAAAUGAAUUGACGGGGGCCCGCACAAGCAGCGGAGCGUGUGGUUUAAUUCGAGGCUACACGAAGAACCUUACCUGGGUUUGACAUAGGCGUAGUAGGGAACCGAAAGGGGACCGACCUUCGGGAGCGCUUACAGGUGCUGCAUGGCUGUCGUCAGCUCGUGCCGUGAGGUGUUCGGUUAAGUCCGCAAACGAGCGCAACCCCUGGUGCUAGUUACACGUGUCUAGCGCGACUGCCCGUGAGAAACGGGAGGAAGGUGGGGAUGAUGUCAAGUCAGCAUGGCCUUUAUAUCCAGGGCUACACACACGCUACAAUGGGCGGUACAAUGGGUUGCGAAGUUGUGAAACGGAGCCAAUCCUCAAAGCCGUUCGUAGUUCGGAUUGCAGGCUGCAACUCGCCUGCAUGAAGUCGGAGUUGCUAGUAACCGCAGGUCAGCUAUACUGCGGUGAAUACGUUCCCGGGCCUUGCACACACCGCCCGU